GACGAACGCUGGCGGCGUGCUUAACACAUGCAAGUCGAGCGGUAAGGCCCUUUCGGGGGUACACGAGCGGCGAACGGGUGAGUAACACGUGGGUGACCUGCCUUUAGCUCUGGGAUAAGCCUGGGAAACUGGGUCUAAUACCGGAUAUGACUCCAUGACGCAUGUUGUGGGGUGGAAAGCCUUGUGCGGCUAGGGAUGGGCCCGCGGCCUAUCAGCUUGUUGGUGGGGUGAUGGCCUACCAAGGCGACGACGGGUAGCUGGUCUGAGAGGAUGGCCAGCCACAUUGGGACUGAGACACGGCCCAGACUCCUACGGGAGGCAGCAGGUGGGGAAUAUUGCGCAAUGGACGAAAGUCUGACGCAGCGACGCCGCGUGUGGGAUGACGGUCUUCGGAUUGUAAACCA
rnacentral:rRNA from 1 species